rnacentral:misc_RNA from 1 species
GAGAGAUAGAGAGAGGGCGGGACCUAGGGAGGGGAGCAUACAUCUGCUGUAGAGAUAGAAACCCUAAAAUUACGGAGAUAUAGAGACAGAGCAAUGUCUGGAGGCAUAGCGCGUGGUCGUCUUGCUGAGGAGCGAAAGGCUUGGCGCAAAAACCAUCCCCAUGGUUUUGUAGCGAAGCCGGAGACUUUGCCUGAUGGGUCGGUGAAUUUGAUGGUGUGGCAUUGCACUAUCCCUGGAAAACCUGGUGAAAUGGAUCUCUUCAAAAAUCAUAAAAGCAGAUACUUGCUGAAAACUUAGUAGCUGCUUGACUGCUUCCUUCCUGAGUCACCUACACUGUUUGAUAAGUUUAUUGUCCCCACUAUUUAAUUUUUUUCACCUCUCUAUUGCAUGGCUUGGCUUAUUCUGGUAUUGUUGUGUAUUCUGGUACAGUACUAAUCUACCAAUUUACCAAAAGACAAGAAUUUGUACCUGACACUUUGCCUAUGAUAAACCACAAUAAUACCGUGGUACAGGAGGUAGUGCCCCUCUAUAGGCACUCUAUUAACUGAUUCAAUACUUCAUUUUGCUGGGUAAAAAAAGAAAAUAAUGGAAAAUCUGACAAGUAAAACUUGAAUUUCUUCAGUUGUAAUGUUGGGAUUUAAGUUGAAGUUUGACUUGGAGAAAUAGUUUCUGUCAUGACUUUAUUUUGUACUUCUGAUCUCUCUCUCUCUCUCUCCUGUAUUUUAGUAUCCUCAUAUGCCUAUGUUGCAAAGAUAAUACAUGACUUUGCACAUCCAUUGUGUUACCUCCCUCUCUUACUUCACGUAUAUUUAUGAUAAGGUUUGUCUUCAAGGCAUGUUUAGUUUGUUUUAUUUGGUUAUUUUUUUGAUCUCUAUUGGAAGAUAUCUCUUAAUUGGUAAAGAUGGAUAAGAAGGAUAAGAAUAGCGGAUAUAUCUUUACCUUGUAAUUUAUAUAUUUUCACAUCAAAUUGGAUGGUUUGACUGUAACUUUUAUGAUAUUGUAGACUGACUGGGAGGGUGGUUACUUUCCGCUUACACUCCACUUUAGUGAAGACUAUCCUAGCAAGCCUCCCAAGUGUAAAUUUCCUCAAGGUUUCUUCCAUCCUAAUGUCUACCCUUCUGGAACUGUUUGCCUGUCAAUCCUUAAUGAGGAUAGUGGGUGGAGACCAGCCAUUACUGUGAAGCAAAUUCUGGUGGGUAUCCAGGACCUGCUGGACCAACCAAAUCCUGCUGAUCCUGCACAAACUGAAGGUUAUCAUCUCUUUAUCCAGGAUGCUGUGGAGUACAAGAAAAGGGUUCGCCAGCAAGCCAAGCAAUACCCUCAUCUUGUGUAAUGUGAAAACUUCUAUAUCUAAGAACUGCUGGUUUAUGGUAACUAUUAGUUGCCCCACAAUUGUGUAAUGUUAAACUAGCUUUUGCUAAUAGUUGAUGGCAUUUGGUAAUUGUCACUGGCCUUUAUGUGUGACUGCAUGGUUGGACUGGCAUUUCAGCUCCACAGAUUUGGGAUUUGGGUUAAUCUUCGUUGAUAUGUCGCAGUAUACUGGUCAGCCAUUGUUACUCAUUGGUGUUUAUAGCAGUUAAAAUCUAAAAUUUAAGUUAUAUCACAAUUUCUUUGGUGUGAUGGGAAGUCAUAAUGUAUAUACAUGAUAAUUUGGAAAUUGAAAUUGGAUGAUUUUGCUAGUAAGAAGUGCAGGUUAGGUGUGAAAUUUUGAUGUGGUAGCAACUGCUUAAGAUGGUAGCUUUCUGAAAUGCAUGACAAGCGUCUGUUUGCCGUUCAUUCUUUUUUCGUUCAGUUGUUAUUGUCUAAUUAUUGAUGAAAUUUAU